rnacentral:rRNA from 1 species
GACGAACGCUGGCGGCGUGCUUAACACAUGCAAGUCGAACGGAAAGGCCCUGCUUUUGUGGGGUGCUCGAGUGGCGAACGGGUGAGUAACACGUGAGUAACCUGCCCUUGACUUUGGGAUAACUUCAGGAAACUGGGGCUAAUACCGGAUAGGAGCUCCUGCUGCAUGGUGGGGGUUGGAAAGUUUCGGCGGUUGGGGAUGGACUCGCGGCUUAUCAGCUUGUUGGUGGGGUAGUGGCUUACCAAGGAUUUGACGGGUAGCCGGCCUGAGAGGGUGACCGGCCACAUUGGGACUGAGAUACGGCCCAGACUCCUACGGGAGGCAGCAGUGGGGAAUAUUGCACAAUGGGCGGAAGCCUGAUGCAGCAACGCCGCGUGCGGGAUGACGUCCUUCGGGUUGUAAACCGCUUUCGCCUGUGACGAAGCGUGAGUGACGGUAAUGGGUAAAGAAGCACCGGCUAACUACGUG